GUCAUCGAGCUACGCAUGAUAGCAGUUGACAAAAUGGCGACGUGCCAACCGCCGCCAAGUGUUGAGCGGUGAAGCGGUAUAACAGACGAGACCCGUGCGUAUGGGUAGAUGUUUCACCACAAAGGGGGUACGAAAAGUGUAUAUCGAGUGACGGAGAAUAAGGAUAUUUGUUUGCUGUAGGAACUUAGGAUAGAACUGGAUACAACAAAGAAGUGCAGGAGGUGGCUCCAUCGAGGCUCCAGGUGGUGUCAGAAAUCUCAGACUCAGAUAUCAAAAAACCUAAACAAAUAAGACCAAAACGGUCUUCACGGCUAGAUACCACUAGGAGCGCUGAUGUCGACUGGCCUUGGACCUCUCCAAAAUGAGAACAAACACGGAACAAUUUUCUCAGUGAGCAGUAUGGAGGUGUUGCUGUACUUUUUGCUGGUCUCAGAGCCCAGAGUGACAAACCUGAGCAGGAACAGAGACAGACUGGAGCACCAGAUCACCAGCUCCCAGUUAUAGUGACACUCCAGGAACGUUUCAUGGACGUGGAGCAACUGAAGGAAGAGAGGUCCUCUCUGCUACACUGAGCAGGAAGAAGAAGAGCCAUAUAAGGCAAACGCGCACCAGGAAGCUCAGUGUUACCAUGGUGAUGACCAGUGCAUCGGAUCCAGAUCCACCCC